CCUACGGGAGGCAGCAGUGGGGUAAUAUUGCGCAAUGGGGGAAACCCUGUACGCAGCAACGCCGCGUGGGUGAAGAAGGCCUUCGGGUUGUAAAGCCCUGUCAGUUGGGAAGAAAACAUGGAGUAACCCUCCAUGUCUGACGGUACCUUCAAAGGAAGCACCGGCUAACUCCGUGCCAGCAGCCGCGGUAAUACGGAGGGUGCAAGCGUUGUUCGGAAUUACUGGGCGUAAAGCGCGUGUAGGCGGUUUGGUCAGUCUGAUGUGAAAGCCCGGGGCUCAACCCUGGAAGUGCAUUGGAUACUGCCUGACUUGAGUACUGGAGGGGAAAGCGGAAUUCCGAGUGUAGAGGUGAAAUUCGUAGAGAUUCGGAGGAACACCUGUGGCGAAGGCGGCUUUC
rnacentral:rRNA from 1 species